GGUUGAUCCUGCCAGUAGUCAUAUGCUUGUCUCAAAGAUUAAGCCAUGCAUGUCUAAGUAUAAGCUUGUUUAUACGGCGAGACUGCGGAUGGCUCAUUAAAUCAGUUAUAGUUUAUUUGAUGGUCUCUUUUUUCUAUAUUUUACCUACUUGGAUAACCGUGGUAAUUCUAGAGCUAAUACAUGCGCAAGGUCCCGAGCGCGAGGGGCGAGGUCUCACAAGGAUCUCGUCCCUGCAUGCGCAGAGGGAUGUAUUUAUUAGGUUAAAAACCAGCAGCGUCAGCAAUGGCGUUUC
rnacentral:rRNA from 1 species